CACAAAACAUCACCAAACCUGAACAAAAACCUCUCAGUGGCUGAGUAGUUGUAGCAUGAAGCCACCAGAGGAGGAGCUGUAAGACCACUAAAGAAUUGAUGGGUGAUUUUACUCAAAAAAAGAAAUUGGGAAAUUCCUUACUGGACACUAUUCUUUUUUUUUGUCUGUCCCGUUUGGCUCUUUUGCCAUCAGAAUUAUUGUCUAAAGGCGAAGAAAGAUGCCCAACGGAUUACUUGAAGUAACCAAGAUGAGUGUUGAAGGCCGUCUUCCAUUCAUCUCCCUCCCUCAUCCUCACCAGAUGAUAAGCAUUGCACAGGUCCACCUUAGUGAAGACGGAGACUCUCUGAAGCAGUUCAAAGGCAGAUGUUAGCAAAGACAAAAAACCCAGCCGCAAGAGGAGAGGAAGAUGCAUCUUUCCAUUGCCUCACGUUCAGGUUGAGGAAUGCUGUAUAAAUGGCUUGUAGGAAGAGUGCCGGGGAGGAGGUCAAUACCACAGUCAUAAGGUCUGUGAGGGGGCAACAAAGAUGCACGGUCUUUACUAAACACCUCCAGGAGAUCAUGAUAGAUGGGAGGGGCGGAGGAGAGAUCAGGAGAAUCAGGGGCAGAGCCUGGAUCUGAAGAACUGAUAGGCGAUAUAGCGGCCUUUAAGCAGGUCAUGUGAAACCCCUCCCCCCACCCCGAAACCUUAGCUGUCUUCCAAUCUAGUGUGGGAUUGUGUUGUUGCAACCAAGGAAAUCCUAAUACCAAUGGCGUGAGCGGAGCUUUAAACACAAACAAGUGCAGGGUCUUGGAAUGAUUGCCGGAGAGUGUUAAAGAAAUAGGCUCAGUGAUAUGGGUGACGUCAGGGAGGCGUUGCCCAUUGAGUGCCGUAACUUUAAGUCUGUGAGGAAGGAGCUCAGUUGGAAGGUUUAAUCGGCGGGCUAAAGCUGCAUCAAUAAAACGUUUGCUCUGCUCCGGAGUCAAUUAAGGCACGGAGCGGGUGAGAAGUCGAACACACAGUGAUUUUUGCGGGGAUUAAAAGAUGUGAGGGAGAAUCUCUACAAGAAAGUUUGCCCACCUGUAGUCCCCUCUCUACUGGCGGGCAGAGAGAGUUGAGUUAAAAAGCCUGUACACUUUUCCAAUCCACCAGAAAAAGGCUCGGGGGUUGGGAACGGUAGUUCAGGAAGCGCCGGUGGUGCUGGUUGUGAAAGAUUUGCAAAAGAGAAGAUUGCGGGAUGUACUUAGCAACGUUGUGCCCUGGGCCAGUGCCAGAGUGAGAGCUGCCAGCUGUUGGUUGAUAUGCUGCAACAUUUGCUCGUGCUGUACCAGCAUGACUUCAGGCGAAACGGCAGGCUGAUCUGGCUGUGGCACGAAUUCCGAGUCCGCUGAGUCCAUACUGGCUGGAUCGUUCUGUUACGGUCACCGGGGGGACUCAAACGCAGGACUCCUUGCUUAAAGGAAGAACAGAGGGUUUUUAUUUACAAACACCAGGUGAAAUGUGUAACAGUGACUCAGUGCUAUAUACAAGCAUGCGGGGAUCAAGCCUCCAGGGAAUCCACGGGGAAAAGCAGGGGAACACUCUCACUCCUCUUCAGUCUCUCUUGGCAUCUCAGCAGUCAUUUACUCCUCUCUCGCACCAGAAACUCUGUAGGGAACAAGGGCAGGUCCAGAGGUCUGUACACAGGGAAACAAAAGUGUUAGCACAAGAAGCUGAAACGCGGGAACUAGACUGUAGUGUCUAAGCCAGGAUUUCACUGACACAGGUCAAGCAAUGAUCCAGCGAAGAGCAGUGUCACUUCUUCCCUUUAGUAGAGGCCAGUUAAUGAGACGCAGGUGUUGAUCAUCUCCCAGGUAUGUAGGCCAAAGGUGGGAGCCCACAAUGAACUCCGCCCAGGCAACAGAGGGAGAGAGGGAGAAAGAGAGGGAGAGGGGGAAAAAAAAAGAACACAAAGCAAAACUUCUCAGGCAGAUCUGUCGGACCGUGACACUUUUAUACUCAGCUCUCUCUUCACCACAACAGACUGGUGCAGCAUCCUCUUCACUGCGGCCGCUGCACCAAUCUGUCUGUCGAUCUCCGGCUCCCUUCUCCCAUCACUCAUGAACAAGACCCCGAGAUACUUAAACUCCUCCACUUGGGGCAGGAACUCAUUCCUGAAUCAGAGUGGGCACUCCACCCUAAGCUGUUUAAGUUCCUUAAACAGCUGUACAAAAUUCAGUAGUCUUUAUCCUGUCUACAUGUAUCUGAUAAUCAGUUGUAUAUUUUAGUUUUUCUCAUUUUCUGAAUUUUUUUACAAAAUAAUACACAAUAAAUUAUUUGUCCCAAUUUUUAGUCAGUGUAAAAAUGACAUAUUUAAAAACAUUGAACAUUGUAGACUGUUGUUGCAUGAGUUAUCUACCGAGGGAUGUAUUUGUGUUACAUCGUCUCCUUUUAUAACCUGUAGAGUGACAAAUUUCCAAAGACAAGAAGAGAGAGCAGCUAAAUUGGGUCUUAAUGGUACUGCAAACUGUGUAACUCAAAAAACUUUCAGGCAGUGUUUUAAAACUCACACAUGAUUCAGAAAAAUAAACUACAUGUGGCAUAAACGCUAAUCACACUUGGCAAUCUUUCUUCUGUAAAAAACUUCACAUCAGAUUUAGAGAAGAAUUUAUCAGAGCAGAUAUUAGAUCAGAUGUUGACAGUGGCUGCUAGAAUUACACUAAGAAAAGAGCAACAGUGAAUAAUUCAUAUGCUUUACACAGAUGCUUAAAAUAUAGUAAACAAAAAAAAAGCAUUAAAAGUUCUUAUUAUUAGAUAAAUACAGGCCAAUCCACAUCCACAGUGCUGGGAUCAGCAGCUUAUGUGAUACCAAAAAUGCAAAAUGUUAGCUUUUAAAACUUGUUGCAUUUUAGUCUAUUAUUACAAGAUUUGAGAACUAAAAUAUUUGGAAAAUUGAUAAGAAAAUAUGGAUGUGGUGCACAUGCAAACUGAUAUGAGAAAUUUAAAUCUGCACUUUGUUUCUCUUACUGGCAUAACCACACCUCACACCUGCUGUUUGUGAUGCUCCGUUGCUCUUUGCAUUCUUUCACUUCUGUGUUUUGGUACUUUUUUGAGACCUGGUUGUUACUCAAUGCUUCCGCUUGCUGCUUGCCCUGAUCACUCUGCCUUAUCAUGCAUAACAACUGUGCAACAGACUUCCUGCCCUAUUUUCGCCUUGCUGAACAACACUAAACAAUGUAAAAGUACAACUCUAACAUAACUUAAUGACAACUGAAAUUGAAGAGUUCUGCAUUUACCAGAAUCUGAAGUGCCAUGGAUUGUGUCGCCAAACAUCACAUUGUACCCAGUCUCGGACUGGGAAUUUGGAAUCUCACCAGUAAGGCUCAUCUGCUAAAUGGCUUUUUUCCAGACGGUUUCAGGACAAAUCACCACUGAGUCAAAACAAGAAGCCAAGCAGAACGAAGCUAAAAAGUGAAGGGACAGAGCAGAAAACCUUCAGCCUGAGCAGCAAACUCUCAGUGUGGGGACAAGGAUCAACUUUUACCUGCAAAGCUAAUCACAAUUAUACUGAAUAUAAGAAGACAAUGAGCAUUUGUCACAAAAUUCACCUUUCAUUCAUGUGGAGAUUCCCAAGUUUAAGACUUUAGCGUCAGACUCUAAUGUGCAAGGAACAUGUUGGGUCCACACUAAUUUUGAUGCCAUAAUCUCCUGGCUGAUUAAUGGAGCGCCACAAACAGCUAAUAAGAGUAAAACACAACUCUUAUUAUAAGUUAAAAAAAAAAUUUGAGUUGGUGGAAGAAAGUAAAGCAUUUAACAUGCAGAGGAGAGUAAACGUGUGUCACAUCUGCUGAGAAGACUAUAAAUAUUGCAGGUAAAAUGAUAUUAAGAUCACAGGAAAUUCAGGCAUCUUAUGACCAAAGAGGACCUAAUUAAUAUUUUUGCUUUUUUUUUUUAAAUUGUCCUCCAGUUCAAACUCCAUAGAAAUCAGGAUCUUGCCCAGAUCUGCUGAAGGGAAAAACUGUCCUCAUGUGACCUCUACAUCACCUUACAAGUCAAUGAUUCUCACUGAAGGCAUCAUAACUAUGAAUGAACACAUAUGAAUGACCUGACGUCCUGGCUCGUCCUUGCCAUAGCAUUUGUGCUGUACCUCAUCGAUUGUUUUUUUGCUUCCCCCUGAGUUCCUGUGCUGCUCACUAUUUCACCAUGUACCAGGACACACUGAUUGAUGGUGAGUUAAUGAUACUUAACAUUUUAUCUGUCUCACUCGUUCCUCUCUGUUAUCAUUUCAUCAAAUGUUACAGGUCAGAGUAUGGAGUCCAUUCCUUCCAGUCAGAGAAAAGGCCUGGGGAGACUCUCAGUUUCUCCUGUAGAGGAUCAGGCUUCAGUUUUCAUUGCUGUGUUAUCUGGUCUUAUCUGAUCUGGGACAGAGAACCUGCAGGAAAACCACUGGAAUUGAUUAUCUCUUAUAAUCUGUCAGCAUGCAUCUAUAUGCAAAGCAAACCUCCUGACAGUCGACUAUAAAGACUUGAAAUCAUGCCACCAGUUAAAACAGAAGAAGAAAGGUUCCCAUCAGAUUAUCUUGAGUACC